GACGAACGCUGGCGGCGUGCUUAACACAUGCAAGUCGAACGGAAAGGCCCUGCUUUUGUGGGGUGCUCGAGUGGCGAACGGGUGAGUAACACGUGAGUAACCUGCCCUUGACUUUGGGAUAACUUCAGGAAACUGGGUCUAAUACCGGAUAGGAGCUCCUGCUGCAUGGUGGGGGUUGGAAAGUUUCGGCGGUUGGGUAUGGACUCGCGGCUUAUCAGCUUGUUGGUGGGGUAGUGGCUUACCAAGGCUUUGACGGGUAGCCGGCCUGAGAGGGUGACCGGCCACAUUGGGACGGAGAUACGGACCAGAAUCCAACGGGAGGCAGCAGUGGGGAAUAUUGCAGAAUGGGGGGAAGCCUGAUGAAGAAACGCCGCGUGCGGGAUGACGGCCUUCGGGUUGUAAACCGCUUUCGCCUGUGACGAAGCGUGAGUGACGGUAAUGGGUAAAGAAGCACCGGCUAACUACGUG
rnacentral:rRNA from 1 species